AUCCAGAAUCUACAAAGAACUUAAACAAAUUUACAAGAAAAAAAUCAAACAACCCCAUCAAAAAGUGGGCAAAGAAUGUGAACAGACACUUCUCAAGAGAAUUCUUUUUCUUAGUUCUCUCUCCAAACCAAAGUAGUUUCCGUGGAGAGAGAACAAUGGCCCCCAAAGACAUCCGCAUCCUAAUUCCUGGAACCUCCUCAUACCUCUACUGAGCUAUUAAGCCAUCUCAUGACAUCCUCAUGACAAUCUGAUAAGAUAAAAUGAUGGAGGCGGGGUGGAACAGAGAGGUUUACCUGUACAAAGAAGGACCACAUGAAACAAGCGGGAGCUCUUGAACUGAUCUGGGACAAUGCCAAGAAUGUCCUGCUACACUAAAAUGUUGACACCAAUGAUAGCAACUCCUUAAUUCCCCUCUAGAUCCAUGUAGAUGUUGAGUUUUUAUGUAAAUAUUAACUAUUAACAAAUAUUAAUUCAAUCAUAGGAUGGAGACAAAUAAAAAUCCCAUUGACACAUAGUAGAAAACAGAACUGAAACUCAGCUGUGGUUUAAAAGGUAGAGUAAUAUUUGGCAAAUCACUGGACUUCCCUGAGCCCCGAAUUUCUAAACUAUGAAAGUAACAGAUGGUUCUAUAUUAUGUGCAGUAUGUUCUUCAGUACUGUAAAUUCUUCCCUUUAUGAAAUACAUCAAGGAGUAUUUACCAUCUAGAGGACAUAAAUUCAGCUCAUUUUUUUAUUCCCUAGGUUUUAACUUCAAUUGACCAUUGGAAUUAGAGUAACUAUAUUGUCAAUAACAUCACAAUUCAGGAAGAGCUAGAAUUUCAGAUUUACAUUUCUCGAAUUAAAGGCAAAUUUUUAAAAGUCUAAAUGUUUUGCAUUACUACAAAGAAAAUGUCAAGCCUUAUAUUCAAAAUAUAAAGGGAAUGAUUCUAAAGAGAAAAAAAUCCUGUAACACUUCUUGAUAAUUAUUAAAGUAUCCUGCAAAAUCUCGAUAUGACAUAGCA
rnacentral:lncRNA from 1 species